rnacentral:rRNA from 1 species
UAGCAAUACAACUGGGUGGCGACCGGCGCACGGGUGAGUAACGCGUAUGCGACCUACUUAUCAGAGGGGAAUAACCCGUGCGAAAGUCGGACUAAUACCGCAUAAAACAGGGACACCGCAUGGUGAUAUUUGUUAAAGAAAUUCGCUGAUAGAUGGGCAUGCGUUCCAUUAGGUAGUUGGUGAGGUAACGGCUCACCAAGCCGACGAUGGAUAGGGGAACUGAGAGGUUGGUCCCCCACACUGGUACUGAGACACGGACCAGACUCCUACGGGAGGCAGCAGUGAGGAAUAUUGGUCAAUGGGCGAGAGCCUGAACCAGCCAAGUCGCGUGAAGGAAGAAGGAUCUAUGGUUCGUAAACUUCUUUUGCAGGGGAAUAAAGUGCAGGACGUGUCCUGUUUUGUAUGUACCCUGAGAAUAAGGAUCGGCUAACUCCGUGCCACCAGCCGCGGUAAUACGGAGGAUCCGAGCGUUAUCCGGAUUUAUUGGGUUUAAAGGGUGCGUAGGUGGUUUGAUAAGUCAACGUGGAAAGUCUGCACCUUACCUGUAAAAAUGCCGUUGAAACUGU